rnacentral:rRNA from 1 species
ACUGAAUAGAUACCCGGGUAGUCCACGCUGUAAACGAUGAGUGCUAGAUGCCGGAUUUUUUCGGUGUCGCAGCUAAACGCAUUAAGCACUCCACCUGGGAAGUACGAUCGCAAGGUUGAAACUCAAAGGAAUUGACGGGGGCCCGCACAAGCAGUGGAGCAUGUGGUUUAAUUCGAUGCAACGCGAAGAACCUUACCUAGGCUUGAAAAGCUUAUGACCGGCUGUGAAAGCAGCUUUCCCGCAAGGGCAUAAGUACAGGUGCUGCAUGGCUGUCGUCAGCUCGUGCCGUGAGGUGUUGGGUUAAGUCCCGCAACGAGCGCAACCCUUACCAUUAGUUGCCACCGGAGCAAUCCGAGCACUCUAAUGGAACUGCCUACGCAAGUAGUGAGGAAGGUGAGGAUGACGUCAAGUCCGCAUGGCCCUUACGCCUAGGGCUACACACGUGCUACAAUGGCCGCCACAACGGGCAGCAAAAUCGCGAGAUGGAGCGAAUCCCUAAAAAGCGGCCUCAGUUCGGAUC